UAGCGUUCAUGAAAUAUUCACUGGCUGGGCUGUGUGUUGCCAAGCUGAGGCGAAGGCGACCCUGCACAAGCUAUUUAUAACUGGCUCCUGUUCCCUGCCUGCGGCGCGGUUCUGCGUGAAAGUAUGGAAAACUUAUCCACAGUUACUCCAGAGGAUCCUUCUCUUGACGCCCCCUAUACUCAACUAUUAACUCUUUGCACACAAAUUCUUUUUCCUCCAGGCCUCUUUGGAUCGGUCUAAAUGUGCCACCCACUCCACACAGCAACAGGAUUGCAAAUGGGACAAGACAUACCAGAGUAUCAGUGGCCCUCUUGUUAAGAAGAAAAGGGAAGAAAAAAAGAAGUGGAGAGAAGGCCUUUCAAAGCUAAACUCCAUGCUGGGAAAAGAAAAGCCCUGUGGAGAGGGAAGGAGUUCUUUGUAUAGACUGCCAGAAGGGGGGAGGAAGUGCCACUGCUUUCAAAAAAGGAGAAAUUCAGAAGUCCCUUUGCUUCGGAGGAACUGUGAGAUCAAAGCCGCAAGAUAAAAAGGCAUUGCUGGCCUGCAACUUGCCAAGGGCCAAAUGACAGACCCUCCUGGGGCCCAGGGAAGAAGCGCUCCAUACUUCAAGGCUCACUUUAAAAUGUGUGUGUGUGUUGCUCUAACAGUAGCUGCAAUGGCAGGCAGGCAAGAGCUAUAACUGAGAAUCUUGUUUGAAUGCAGACUGCAGACCCCUUAAUGUGGAUUGAUUAUCUCUUUUUUUGAAAAAAAAUACUUUCUUCACCACUCUCUUGCCUUCAAAACCACUGUGAACUGAAAGGGCACCUUCUUACUCUUCUUCCUUGAGAUCUUUUCAAAGCAUGUCUACAAUUGGAGGGAAGAGGGUAUAUAAACAAUUCGGUACAAGGACAUGAUCUCGAGUGCAUGAAACCCAAGAGGUACAAAGCCAAGGAAAGGGGCACAUUGUAACUUCUGAGGGAUGGAUAGAUUUCACCAUGAAACAAAAAGAGGUGGAAAAUAUUGAAUUCUGAAAGUGAGCAUCGUUUUACUGGCAUGUUAUGCAUGCUAGGAGGGGGUAGGAUAAGUACAUAAUGGACGUGAAUAGAGCAUUUCCGUGUAAUUAAAGGUGGACAACGUACAGAUGUUGCUGGCCUGCAAAACCCAGCAGCCUUAGCCAAUGUUGAGAGGUAAUGGGAAGAAUAAUCCACCAAAUCCUAAAAAGCCACAAACUGCUCAUUCGUGACAUAAUAACUCUAUUACGUUUCGCAACCACCAAACCAGACAAUCUAAGAUCAUUCCUGAUAUUAUGAAUGGGGAUGGUGGAAGUUGCACUCCCAUAUAUUUAGAAAGCUGCUGGGUUGGGGAAGAUUUUUUAAAAUGAAAUAUCAAAAAGUGACUUUCCACUUGAGGAAAUUACUACAGAGCUCUUUUUCACAAUGGAAUUUGACAGCACACAGCGUCCUAAAGCAAGAAUGGCAACAGUAAUGGCAUGUGGGGAGUCACUUUUUUGGCUGGCCAACUACUUUUGUUAUUAAAGAUAAAGGUAAAGGUUUUCCCCUGACAUUAAGUCUAGUCGUGUUUGACUCUGGGGGUUGGUGCUCAUCUCAAUUUCUAAGCCAAAGAGCCAGUGUUGUCCCUAGACAUGUCCAAAGUCAUGUGGCCGGCAUAACUGCAUGGAGUGCCGUUACCUUCCUGCCAGAGUGGUACCUACUGAUCUACUCAUAUCUGCAUGUUUUCAAACUGCUAGGUUGGCAGAAGCUGGGGCUAACAGCAGGAGCUCACUCCGCUCCCUGGAUUCGAACCAGGGGCGCUUGUUAUUAGUUGUUUUUAAAUCUCAGUUUUCAAAAAAGGAACUGGAGAAGCAGGAAUUUGGCAGCAUCUGUAAUAGUAACUAGUUUUAAUUUUAGCCUGAGCUUUUGUGGAUAUAAACUCACUUCCUCUGAAGUGGUAUCAAGGCCUCGGGUUAUAAAGCAUAUUUAUACAGUUGUGGAAGUGGGACAGAAAGUAAUACGAUCCAAAAAGAUAAAAGUAGACAUUGAAGACUUGUUAAAGGUAGAGAAGCAGGAAACCUAAAAUAGAAGUGAAUACAGUCAGCCGUCUUUAUUCACGGAUUCUGCAUCCAUGGAUUCAACCAUCCACGACUUGAAAAAAAACCUAAAAGAAAACUUUGAUUUUGCCACUUUAUGUAAGAGACACCAUUUUAACUACACUUUUGUACAUAAUGGGACUUGAGCAUCCAAAGAUGAUAUCUUAUAAUAUCCAUGGGGGACUUGGAACUAAACCUGAGCAGAUCCCAGGAGUCCAUUGUACUCUGUGGAUCUUCACAUUCUUAUAAAAAUUGUAGCUCAGUUUUCUAUAAAGCAAGUUUUAAUUUGAAACUA